rnacentral:RNase_P_RNA from 1 species
AAAGUAGGUCGUCUUAUCGCUUUGGUAUUUACCAGAGAGGAAAGUCCGGACACCAAAGAGCAGCAUAGCGGCUAACAGCCGUCAUAUAAAUAUUAAUAGUAUUUGUAUAGGACAAGUGCAACAGAAAGAAUGUACAGGUAAUGCUGUAGUGAAACCAGGUAAACUCUAUGCGGUGCAAUGUCAUGUAAACCGGUUUUAAAAUCUGCUCGAUUAUUGCCGGAGGGUAGACAGCUUAGAAAUUUUUGGCAACAAAAAUUCCAGAUAAAUGAUAAGAAGCUUAUCGUGAUAAUUAUUGAGAUAAGUGUACAGAAUUCGGCUUAUAGACCUACUUUUUAU